UACAGAGGGGGCAAGCGUUGUUUGGAAUUACUGGGCGUAAAGGGCGCGUAGGCGGCCUUCUAAGUCGAACGUGAAAUCCCCGGGCUCAACCCGGGAACUGCGUCCGAUACUGGAAGGCUUGAAUUCGGGAGAGGGAUGCGGAAUUCCAGGUGUAGCGGUGAAAUGCGUAGAUAUCUGGAGGAACACCGGUGGCGAAGGCGGCAUCCUGGACCGGCAUUGACGCUGAGGCGCGAAAGCCAGGGGAGCAAACGGG
rnacentral:rRNA from 1 species